AUUGAACUGAUUUUUUUUUUCCCUUCUUGCUCUCUAUUUUCUAUUGUACUUUGAAUACUGAACUUGAGCAGGUAUGCUGUAAACUUAUGGGGUGCUGUGAAAUGUGAAAGUGGAGUAGAAGGAAAAAUAACAGUAGGCAACUACAAAGUGGGAAGAGAAUCCACAGGUCCACAACUCAAUGUUCUUGUUGAGAUAGAAUCUACUCUUUUCACUUUAUGGACAAUUACUUCACAUCAGAAAAGGUAAAAGUGCAAUAUGCUUUCCUUCUGCGUCUUGUUCAGGCAGUUGCAUACUUUGAGUCCCCCGUAUCAGCUUAAAAGUGAUAAAAGGACAUUGUGGUUUGAUUACUGAUACUGUUGGGGCCAUGGAAUACCUACUCAUUUUAUGCCUCAUGGUUUACUGUGACUGGAAAUCCAAUGAACUGGAUCACAUGGAUUGCUAAAAGAUAGAAGAUUAUCAAUUUAUGUAGCUGCGGCAGAACUUGUUGGAUUAUGUAGCAAUUUGUUAAAAGAGUACUUUGCGUUGUUUAGGCAGUGCUUAAGUGUAAGUCUGUGCCUAGAAAGACAGCCAACUAAUUGCUUCUUAAUAAGUGUAAGUAGUAAUUUAUAAUGCCUGUAAGUUUUGUUUUGAAGAGGGCGAUAAUAUACAAUAAUUAUAAAACAACAUAAAUCCAAUGUAAUCCCACAAGUGGGGUUUGGGGUGGGUAAGAUGUAUGCAAUCUUACCCCUAACUUUAUGUGGUAUAGAAGCUGUUUCCGAUUGACCUUCGGGCUUCGGCAACCCUCCUCUCUUUAUCUGGGCUUAGGACCAAUAAUUUCAACAAGCUCACAUUGACAGAGUCAAAGAACAAAUAAUUAUAAAGCAAAGUUAUUUAUCACUUGUUAAGAAAACGUUAUGGAAAAAAUGUUAAUGAUUAAAAACAGGUUGUUAGAAACUUAGUGAACAAAAUUAGUCAAGGACAAUUAGUCAAUAAAAUUGAAUUAGAAACUUAAAUUUGCAUCUUUGCAACGGAUUUUGAACUUGGAUUGACAUGCUUUAUUCUUUAUUUAUGUUUCACUUGCAAUUUUUUUCUCAGUUCAUUUGUCCAUAUAAUGGCUUGUCUGUGGUUAUUUUUAUUUCUUCAUCUUCAUAUUCGUCUUCCUUCACUGACAUGUGUUUUUUAAUCGUUCUUUGCACUUAAAACCCGACCAUACCCUGGGGGUGCUCUUCUUCCCUUUUGCUUUUGACUCUGUUGCAGGAACUAGAGUCCACAGUCCAGCAUCCAGUAAUGUUCAUACUGCCAUGUUGUUUUUUUUGGUUAAUUAUAUAUAAACGAUUAAUGAAAUGGAUUUAAAAAAGAACCUUUAGAUCCCAAGAUAGGAUGAUCACUUUAGUAGUCAAUUGCCUUGAUGCACUUUCCACUUUUAAGUUUCAGUAAAGGUGAAGGGAAAGUACCUAUGUCCUUGCUGAUUAAAGAAUAAAAACUGUAUUUCAAUAUUAAACUUUUGCUGAUCAUUGCAGUAUUUUGCUUACAUGGUGCUUAUGAACUACCAUUUUUAGGAAAAAGUAUUGCAUCAGUGCUUUCCUAUCCUUUGAGAAGUGGACCUUUUAUUCUUUAUCUUCAGUGAUGGGUCAUUUAUUUUGCUGAAAGAGAAUCUGGGACAAACACUAGAUGAGAGAGAGGCCCUGGACCAAAAGAGUAUGUUCCAACAAAAGGAUGACCACAGUGGAAAGCAGAAAGCAGAAUUGAGCUUCAAUUAUAUUGCACCAGCUCACAAUGUCAUAUACAGCCACUGAGCAUCCAGAGGUCGUUGGUAAUAGUGCUUUUUCUAUUACUUGUGGUUGCACUGAGUUCUUUUUAUUUGGAAAAGGAGUAUAUAUGGUCUGUGUGAAGAAAAAUGGUGGCUACCUGGAAUGGGAAUAAUUGGGAUACGGUGGUGACGAUG